CCAACACCCCCUUUCCUCUUCAUAUGCAAAACGAAUCUGACAUUCAUUAAAUAUAAAGUUGAACAUCCAAAAUCUUUUGUUGCUUUUCAAUGUAAAACCUUUCAAUUUUUGCCCACUAAUGCAAAUAUGUAAUUACCAAUGCUUCUGACUCUCUCUUUUUCUACCCAACAAAUAUGUUUCCACACAUCGAAUCUGAACUCAAAUGAAGAGCAAAAAUCAAUUCAUACUCCAGCCACCUUUUCUAUCGUUUUCCAGCUGAUUUAGCAGAGGCGGUUAAUGGUGGACGAGUCCGGUGUUUGAUUGUGAAUAGAUUUUUCGAAAUGGAAAAAUCAAGUGUAUGUUUUGUGGUUGCUUCUUAAGUGGUUAUUGAUGAUUUUCUCAAUAUAUUGGUAUCUGGGUGUUGGAAAAUUGGAGAUAAAUAUGAAAAAUGGAAAUUUGAUGAUGAGGAUAAGGGUCUCCAAAGACCUAACAUUCCAGUGGAGAUGGUACUAUUGGGCAUGUCCAGUUGCAUGGAUCAUCUACAGAUUUGUUACUUUGUCAUUCAUCUACAAUUUGCUCUUUCUGCAGGAGACAAAAAUGUGUUUUAUGUAUGGUAGUUGUUUGUUUUAAAGUUGCAACAAUGAUAUGAAAGAUUUUGACAUUAGAAUUUGACGAUGGUGAAGUGUUCAAGUGGAGAAAGAUACAUAUAAAUUCAAUCACCAUUGAAUGUUGAAGGUUGCAAAGAGAAUGUUACGUUCGGAUUUGGUUAUAAUUGUUCUUUCAGAUGAACAAGGGAAAUUUGAUGAGUUUGUUGGGGAUAAUGGUCUCCAAAGACUUCACCGAAAUCGAAAAUGUUGUAGACAAGCUAUCACCGCCGCUCCGCCUCGCUACAUGUGCAGUUGUUAUUGAACUUCAAAAGAGAAUACAUAAGUGAUUGGUGAGGUGUAUGACCAAAUGUACUCUUAUAUCUACAUUAUUCAUGAUAUUAUCUAUAUUGAAUCAACACGUUUAUAAAAUUACUUCUCAUAAAAUUGUAUGCCUAUGAUACUCCCCUCAACCAUAAACACGCCAACUUUCUAUUUAAUCAUGAAGAAUGAGAGGGGUAAUUAUUGAACUC